rnacentral:rRNA from 1 species
AGAGUUUGAUCCUGGCUCAGGAUGAACGCUGGCGGCGUGCCUAAUACAUGCAAGUCGAACGCUUCACUUCGGUGAAGAGUGGCGAACGGGUGAGUAAUACAUAAGUAACCUGGCAUCUACAGGGGGAUAACUGAUGGAAACGUCAGCUAAGACCGCAUAUGUGUAGAGAUCGCAUGAACUCUAUAUGAAAAGUGCUACGGGACUGGUAGAUGAUGGACUUAUGGCGCAUUAGCUGGUUGGUAGGGUAACGGCCUACCAAGGCGACGAUGCGUAGCCGACCUGAGAGGGUGACCGGCCACACUGGGACUGAGACACGGCCCAGACUCCUACGGGAGGCAGCAGUAGGGAAUUUUCGGCAAUGGGGGAAACCCUGACCGAGCAACGCCGCGUGAAGGAAGAAGUAAUUCGUUAUGUAAACUUCUGUCAUAGAGGAAGAACGGUGGAUAUAGGGAAUGAUAUCCAAGUGACGGUACUCUAUAAGAAAGCCACGGCUAACUACGUGCCAGCAGCCGCGGUAAUACGUAGGUGGCGAGCGUUAUCCGGAAUUAUUGGGCGUAAAGAGGGAGCAGGCGGCACUAAGGGUCUGUGGUGAAAGAUCGAAGCUUAACUUCGGUAAGCCAUGGAAACCGUAGAGCUAGAGUGUGUGAGAGGAUCGUGGAAUUCCAUGUGUAGCGGUGAAAUGCGUAGAUAUAUGGAGGAACACCAGUGGCGAAGGCGACGAUCUGGCGCAUAACUGACGCUCAGUCCCGAAAGCGUGGGGAGCAAAUAGGAUUAGAUACCCUAGUAGUCCACGCCGUAAACG